CCAAUAGCGUAUAUUAAAGUUGUUGCAGUUAAAAAGCUCGUAGUUGAAUUUCGGGGUCAGUAGGCUGGUCGUGCCCCCGGUACGUACUGGUCUCACUGAUUCCUCCUUCCUGAAGAACCGUAAUGCCAUUAAUUUGGUGUUGCGGGGAAACAGGACUGUUACUUUGAAAAAAUUAGAGUGUUUAAAGCAGGCUAACGCUUGAAUACAUUAGCAUGGAAUAAUGAAAUAGGACGAUCGAUCCUAUUUUGUUGGUUUCUAGGAUUGACGUAAUGAUUAAUAGGGAUAGUUGGGGGCAUUAGUAUUCAAUUGUCAGAGGUGAAAUUCUUGGAUUUAUUGAAGACUAACUACUGCGAAAGCAUUUGCCAAGGAUGUUUUCAUUAAUCAAGAACGAAAGUUAGGGGAUCGAAGACGAUCAGAUACCGUCGUAGUCUUAACCAUAAACUAUGCCGACUAGGGAUCGGAUGAUGUUAUUUUUAAUGACUCAUUCGGCGCCUUACG
rnacentral:rRNA from 1 species